rnacentral:lncRNA from 1 species
UCAUUUUCCUAUUUUAAAUAACUUUUAUUUUAAAAUACUAAAUGUUAAAGUAGAUUGAAGGUUUCAAUGAGGAGGAGAAAAUGUGCACUCAGGAUUAGCUGGAAUGCUUAGCACAUGCCAUUUUCUAAGGCGUAAUAUUUGCCAACAUCGUAGGCACUGAGCUUGGCUGGUGACACAAGUUUUCUUUUAAGGAACUGAAAUGAGAAUUAUAAGAGUUCGUAGACCUCAGCUUGAAGAAGUGGAGGACUGGGACUUCUGGGCAGAGGAGCAGAAAGAAGACACAGCCCCUGCCCUCGGCUUCACCAUCUCUCAGGUAGUGCUUAGGACCACUUGCCAAACCAGACAGCAGGAAUUUUCAUCUCUCCUACAUUUGGCAGGUUCUUCCAUUCCUUUGGACAGAAGGCCCUUCCGGUUAAAGACACCUCUUACGAACAGGUGAGUUGCUGCUAAAUCUGCAUCAGCAAGAAAGGAGAAAACCCAGUUCCAGGCCAGCCUUGGGAGGAAAGAGAGGCUGCCACACUGCACAGCCCUGCAGGGGAAACGAGCUUCGCUGAGGCUCGGGAAUGCAGGUAGGCUCAUUCCAAGGACCAGAAACCAGACCAGGGCUGGCAAAUAUAGGUAGGCUCCUCUGAGGCCUGCGCAGCUUUGACUGAACCCAGGAGACAGGGGAAAGAGUCAUCUUGUAUUUGGCCACAUGAGUCCCCCAAGAAGUGGCCAAGCCACAGGUGAACCAAUGCAGGAUUUUUUUUUUUUGAAAGGCAUAGUCACAAAGAGAGAGGGAGAAAGAUUCUACCCACUGAUUCACUCCUCAAAUGGCUGCAACAGCCAGGACUGGGCCAAGCCAAAGCCAGGAGCCCAGAGUUUCCUCUGAGUCUCCCACGUGGGUGCAGAGGCCCAAGCACUUGGGCCAUCUUCUGCUGCUUUCCCAGGCCACAGCAGGGAGCUGUGUUGGAAGUGGAGCAGCUUGGUCUUGAACUGGUGUCCAUGAGAGAUGCCAAUGUUGCAGCCACAGCACUGGCCCCACAACACAGGAUCUUAAAACCACUUGGUCCCACUCUGCCUUUCCUCUUUAUUUCCUCCCUCGCAUUUCUGAAGCCUACACUCCAGACAACCUUAUCCAACCGUAUCCUACAAGCUCCCUCAUGGUGCCUGACAUUUCCUAUCUGCUGAGAAGUGGCUCCCAUGGCACACGCCAGUGUGUGGUUCCAAAUGCUGCCUAUCAGAUACAGCCUCUGGGAAGGCAGAAGCUUAGUAACUAUGGAGACUUGCCCUUUCCUGUUUUUUUCUCAAAACCAGUAGUUUCAAGAUGGUAUAAGAGGUAUUGAACUCUUUGGGACUCUGAUGAAAGUUGUACAUCAGAAAUAUCUACAAAACUGCACACAUUCACAAAUGCACACAGACAUUUUCUGUGGGUUGCAGGGUAUUGUUCAUAGACCCCCAAACGUGACCAUAAAUCUCAGGUUAAAAAAUCUGUGUGAGAGAAACAGGGGUGGGCGGCAUGAUGUAGGGGAUUAAGCCACCACUUGAGUUGCCUUAUUGGAGCACCUGGUUUGUGUCCUGGCUACUCUGCUUCUGAUCCAGCUUCACGCUAAUGCGCAUCUCGCUGAGGCAGCAGAUGGCUCAAGUACUUGAGCCCCUGGCAUCUUCGUGGGAGAUCCAGGCUCCUGGCUUCAGCCUGGCUUAGCCCCAGGCAUUUGGAGAGUACAUCAACAUAUGGAAGAUCUCUCUCUCUCUCUCCCUCUCCCUCCCUCCCUCCCUCCUUUCUCCUUCUGCCUUUCAAAUAAACAGACUUUUUUAAACUACA